GCAGCAGUGGGGAAUAUUGCACAAUGGGGGAAACCCUGAUGCAGCGACGCCGCGUGGAGGAAGAAGGUCUUCGGAUUGUAAACUCCUGUUGUUGAGGAAGAUAAUGACGGUACUCAACAAGGAAGUGACGGCUAACUACGUGCCAGCAGCCGCGGUAAAACGUAGGUCACAAGCGUUGUCCGGAAUUACUGGGUGUAAAGGGAGCGCAGGCGGGAAGACAAGUUGGAAGUGAAAUCCAUGGGCUCAACCCAUGAACUGCUUUCAAAACUGUUUUUCUUGAGUAGUGCAGAGGUAGGCGGAAUUCCCGGUGUAGCGGUGGAAUGCGUAGAUAUCGGGAGGAACACCAGUGGCGAAGGCGGCCU
rnacentral:rRNA from 1 species